AGCCCCGGCCCAGCGGGGCACGGACGGCGGCACCCCCGGCCCAGCGGGGCACGGACCCACGGCGGCAGCCCCGGCCCAGCGGGGCACGGACGGCGGCACCCCCGGCCCAGCGGGGCACGGACCCACGGCGGCAGCCCCGGCCCAGCGGGGCACGGACCCGCGGCCCGCGCUGAGGGCAAGCGGCCCUCAGCGCCCGCCCUGCUGCCGCCACAGCCGCUGCCCUGCUCUCCACAGCCGCUUCCCUGCUCGCCACAGCCGCUGCCCUGCUUCGCUGCCUGCUUCCCUGCCUGCCACAGCCUCUUCCCUGACUCUUCCCUCGCCACAGCCGCUUCCCGGCCGGCCACGGCUUUUUCCCCGCUCGCCCCGCCCGCCACCACGCGUGAGGCGGUUUGAAACCCCUCACGGGACGGACACAAGGCUCUGCUCCGCAGCUGCGGGAACUCCUCCGGCGUGCUGCAAGCAACAGAUGAUGUACGGCAGCUCCUCAAAGACUGACCGAACUUCUUCUGAUGGAGUUUAACAGGAAAAAAACGGGGGGAUUCUUUAGGAAAACAGCUUCGAGAAGUGAGAGGCUUUUCAUUUUAAAACCGACUCAAGCAGGGCUUAAGCUCGACAACAGCAUCCCGCACGCUGUAAGAGCUUUCCCCACCUGCACGGGGCUCCUGCCUGUGCCAGAGCCGGGCUCCUUCUGCCGCUUGCCCGUCCCACACCUUCCUCAGCUGCUUUGUGUCAUUAGCACAUCCCACAGAAAACACUGAUAUACGGCAUUCCAAAUAAACGUGAGCUUGGAGAACAAAAGCCAAAAAACCCACAAGGGAGGGUGGACUGACUACCUCGAGCAUCAUCAGGCAGUGUUUCAAGGUAGUAAUUUAAAUUCGUAACAGGAAACAGGAUGGCAAUGGAUGUUAGUAACACUAGCACAGCGAGGAUCUGAUCUGCUCUUCUCAGCCAAAAGGAGACAAUCCCCAUGCAUUUAUCGAAAUGAGGCUGUGGAGAGCUGAACAGAUUUAAUGAGCAUUUGAACCAAGAAGCCACAAAACCUGCAUGGAAUAUCAUGCUGCAGUGAUACGUGGACCAACAGCAGAGAAAGUGAAAAUACAGCCACUUCUAUCAUACAUGACCAACUUAAUUAAUGAGUCAAGUUCUCCAAAGAAGAGUAAGACAGUUGGAAUAGACUUUUCCACCGCAGGAACAAGGUGAAGAUGCAUGGACCCUCAUCCUCAUGUCCUACAUGUUGUCUGCUGCCCCUCUGACAGGCAAUUUGUCACAGCUACUUUGUAGAGAUGCAAAAGACAACAGCAGCUGCAAUCACUGGGAAGGGAUGAGGGUCUCUUUUCAUUAAAGCCAAACCUCUGCUGUUCCAAAUAUCAAAACUGCAAGUGCACAGAGGACUGCAGAUGAUGACUCCAUGAACUUAAUCAACAACCUCAACAAACCUGCUCCUGUCUGUUCUGGAGUCAAGUGAUUUGUUAAAGAUGCACAAAAAUGCAAGACCAGUUAGGGAGCACUUCUUCCCCUCCCACCAUCCCACAGGUGUUUCAGUGAACUUGGGAGAUCUAUCAUGCUGUGAACUUGAUGUUAACAGUAGCAAACUUAACUCCUUGGAACUUCUUUCUGCUAGAGAAAAAACUGUCAACAGACUUGAAACAGGAACAGUUCUUCCUGAUGUCAAAAGAAAAUCAUCUCUACUAAAGGCCUUUAGUAGUUCAUAAAUGGACUCAAGAACAAUAAUUACAGAUCCACAGCCAAAGGAAAUACAGCAAAAAUAUUUUUUUAAUCCAUAAACAGAAUAAAUUUUUGCGCAAGACU